UCCAGUAAAUUUCUAGUAAAUCACGGUAAAUCAACAAAGUCAACAAUGUCGCUUUAAUGAAAUAUGCAUC